UACGUAGGGUCCGAGCGUUGUCCGGAAUUACUGGGCGUAAAGAGUUCGUAGGUGGUUUGUCGCGUUGUUCGUGAAAACUCACAGCUUAACUGUGGGCGUGCGGGCGAUACGGGCAGACUUGAGUACUGCAGGGGAGACUGGAAUUCCUGGUGUAGCGGUGGAAUGCGCAGAUAUCAGGAGGAACACCGGUGGCGAAGGCGGGUCUCUGGGCAGUAACUGACGCUGAGGAGCGAAAGCGUGGGGAGCGAACAGG
rnacentral:rRNA from 1 species